rfam:Rattus norvegicus chromosome 5, whole genome shotgun sequence.
GGGGAUUUGGCUCAGUGGUAGAGCGCUUGCCUAGCAAGCGCAAGGCCCUGGAUUCAGUCCCCA